rnacentral:misc_RNA from 1 species
CGCACCUUGCGCCCUCUGGUAUUCCGGAGGGCAUGUCUGUCUGAGUGUCUUGUGCAAACCACUCAAGCUUUUGCUUGGUUAAUGAGUGUCUCUGUCCCUCUGUGGGGGCUCGCUCGAAACUAUUAUUGCACGGCUCGAGAGGCUCGAGACCGGUCCUGGCGUGAUAGAACUACUGUUUUUGGCCUGGACCGAGCUCGCCUGUCGCCUUUUGCCGUAGUGCCUGCACAUCCCAUCCUUGGGAUGCGUGGUAGGCCCGUUCUAUGUGUUUGACCUCAGAUCAGGCAGGACUACCCGCUGAACUUAA